rnacentral:rRNA from 1 species
UACGUAGGGUCCGAGCGUUGUCCGGAAUUAUUGGGCGUAAAGGGCUCGUAGGCGGUCUGUUGCGUCGGGAGUGAAAACUUACAGCUUAACUGUGAGCGUGCUUUCGAUACGGGCAGACUUGAGGCAUUCAGGGGGGAACGGAAUUCCUGGUGUAGCGGUGAAAUGCGCAGAUAUCGGGAGGAACACCAGUGGCGAAGGCGGCUUUCUGGCCUGUUCUUGACGCUGAGGCGGCGAAAGCUAG